UAAUUCAAUGACGCUGGAGUAGUUAAAAAAAAUUUGGGAAAACUAGCCUGAUUAUUAUAUUAUAUAACAUCUUUACAUUUUUUUAUAAAUGAUAAUACAGACUUUCCCUGAAUCUUAAACAAAAUUAAUUUUAUAAUUUGUAAUCAAAACACGAGAAAUAGAGAAUUUUCUUUUUUGUCCAUCAUGUUAAAACUAAAUAUUUAUUAUUAUUGCCAGUUAAUAUAUUAAUGACUAGGAAAUACUACUAAUUUAGAUUUAUUUUAUUGUAAGCCAGGAGAUGUUAAAACCACUUUAAAUAUGUAGCUAAAGAACUUAUUU